AACGUGGCUCAGCAGGUAGAGCAGUGCACUCGUAAUGCACAGGUCGCGGGUUCGAAUCCCGCCGUUA
rnacentral:tRNA from 1 species